UAAUAAGUGUUUCAUGGCACUUUUUAAAUCCAUAUCCACCUUGUGUGCAAUGUCAGUCGAUCUUCUUCAUGGAGAUCGACCAAACAUCAACCUUUAUCUUUUAACUCUUUGUCUGAAAAAUAUUAUGAAUAGACAAUUCAAAAUA
rnacentral:misc_RNA from 1 species